rnacentral:lncRNA from 1 species
GACAAUAUGAUAUCAUUUUCAAAUGGCAUAAAAUUAAAUCAUCUGAGAAAAUUAAUGAAAAAUAUCUAAGCUUCAGACAGAGAAAACUGUACCUCUUAGGGGACAUCAAGAACACUAGAGAAAAAGGAAGGGAAGAUUCAUUGGCAUCAAUUUCAGAUAACCUUAAAGGGAAGAGCAUUAGUGAAGAGCAGAGGUGAAGGGCAGCAUACCCCAGCAUGGAUUUAACAUAAAAUGAGGAAAAAAAAAGACACAUGAAAAACUAGUAACAAAUGCACAAAGACUAUUCCCUCAGCCAUUGGGGAAAUGCCAAUGAGAA